rnacentral:rRNA from 1 species
AGUGGAUUGGAAGCGGUGCAAACUGUGAGUGUGAAAGAAUAGCGCCAAGAAAAGCCUUCUUGAUGAUGAAAACUAGGUACUCGUACCAUAAACCGACACAGGUGGGCAAGUUGAGAAUACGAAGGGGCGCGAGAUAACUCUCUCUAAGGAACUCGGCAAAAUGACCCCGUAACUUCGGGAGAAGGGGUGCCAUCGAAAGAUGGUUGCAGUGAAGAGGCCCAGGCGACUGUUUAGCAAAAACAUAGGUCUCUGCGAACUCGAAAGAGGAUGUAUAGGGGCUGACGCCUGCCCAGUGCCGGAAGGUUAAGGAAGUUGGUCAGUCUUAGGAUGAAACUAGCGACUGAAGCCCCGGUGAACGGCGGCCGUAAUUAUAACGGUCCUAAGGUAGCGAAAUUCCUUGUCGGGUAAGUUCCGACCCGCACGAAAGGCGUAACGAUCUGGGCGCUGUCUCGGAGAGAGGCUCGGCGAAAUAGGAAUGUCUGUGAAGAUACGGACUACCUGCACUUGGACAGAAAGACCCUAUGAAGCUUUACUGUAGCUUGGAAUUGUGUUCGGGCUUUGCUUGCGCAGGAUAGGUGGGAGGCGAAGAAGUCAUUCUUGAGGGAAUGAUGGAGCCAACGGUGAGAUACCACCCCUGUAAGGCUAGAAUUCUAACUUAAGCCCGUGAACCGGGAAAAGGAAAGUUUCAGGUGGGCAGUUUGACUGGGGCGGUCGCCUCCAAAAAGGUAACGGAGGCGUACAAAGGUUUCCUCAGGCUGGUUGGAAAUCAGCCGAAGAGUGCAAAGGCAGAAGGAAGCUUGACUGCGAGACAAACAGGUCGAGCAGGGUGGAAACACGGUCUUAGUGAUCCGACGGCGCUGAGUGGAAGGGCCGUCGCUCAACGGAUAAAAGUUACUCUAAGGAUAACAGGCUGAUCUCCCCCAAGAGUUCACAUCGACGGGGAGGUUUGGCACCUCGAUGUCGGCUCAUCGCAACCUGGGGCGGAAGUACGUCCCAAGGGUUGGGCUGUUCGCCCAUUAAAGCGGUACGUGAGCUGGGUUCAGAACGUCGUGAGACAGUUCGGUCCAUAUCCGGUGCAGGCGUAAGAGUAUUGAGAGGAGCCUUCCUUAGUACGAGAGGACCGGGAAGGACGCACCGCUAGUGUACCUGUUAUCGUGCCAACGGUAAACGCAGGGUAGCUAAGUGCGGAGAGGAUAACCGCUGAAAGCAUCUAAGUGGGAAGCCCACCUCAAGAUGAGUACUCUCACAAUUGGUAAGGUCACGGGAAGAACACCCGUUAAUAGGCAGGAAGUGGAAGUGCAGUAAUGUAUGAAGCUGAAAUGUACUAACAGACCGAGGGCUUGACCGU